GGUCUCAGUUCGGAUCGCAGGCUGCAACCCGCCUGCGUGAAGUUGGAAUUGCUGUAAUCGCGGAUCAGCAUGCCGCGGUGAAUACGUUCCCGGGCCUUGUACACACCGCCCGUCACACCAUGGAAGUCGGUAAUGCCCGAAGUCAGUAGCCUAACCGCAAGGGGGGCGCUGCCGAAGGCAGGAUUGAUGACUGGGGUGAAGUCGUAACAAGGUACC
rnacentral:rRNA from 1 species